GGGCCCGCACAAGCGGAGGAACAUGUGGUUUAAUUCGAUGAUACGCGAGGAACCUUACCAAGACUUAAAUGUAGAUUGACAGAUUGUGAAAACAGUUUUUCUUCGGACAAUUUACAAGGUGCUGCAUGGUUGUCGUCAGCUCGUGCCGUGAGGUGUCGGGUUAAGUCCCAUAACGAGCGCAACCCCUAUUUUUAGUUACCAGCGAGUAAUGUCGGGAACUCUAGAAAGACUGCCUGUGUAAACAGUGAGGAAGGUGGGGAUGACGUCAAAUCAUCACGGCCCUUAUGUCUUGGGCUACACACGUGUUACAAUGGUUACUACAGUGGGCUGCCAUCUGGCAACAGAGAGCAAA
rnacentral:rRNA from 1 species